GAGUGGCAGACUGCUCAGUAACACGUAGCUAACCUACCCUCAGGACGGGGAUAACCCCGGGAGACUGGGGCUAAUACCCGAUAGGUGUGGAUUCCUGGAAUGGUGCCAUGCCUAAACGUAAGCACAUCCAUGUUUGUGUGCACGCCCGAGGAUGGGGCUGCGGCCGAUCAGGCAGUUGGUGAGGUAACGGCUCACCAAACCUUUGACCGGUACGGGCCAUGAGAGUGGUAGCCCGGAGAUGGGCACUGAGACGAGGGCCCAGGCCCUACGGGGCGCAGCAGGCGCGAAACCUCCACAAUUCACGCAAGUGAGAUGGGGUUACCUCGAGUGCCGUCUGAAGAAGGCGGCUUUUCCAUGGUGUAACAAGCCGUGGGAAUAAGGGGGGGGCAAGACUGGUGUCAGCCGCCGCGGUAACACCAGCCCCCCGGGUGGUGGGGAUGAUUAUUUGGCCUAAAGCGUCCGUAGCCGGCUUUGUAAAUCUCUCGUUAAAUCCAGCGUCCUAAGCGUUGGGCUGCGAGGGAAACUGCAAAGCUAGAGGGUGGGAGAGGUCAGCGGUAUUCCUGGGGUAGGGGCGAAAUCCAUUGAUCCCAGGAGGACCACCAGUGGCGAAGGCUGCUGUCCAGAACACGCCUGACGGUGAGGGACGAAAGCUGGGGUAGCGAAUCGGAUUAGAUACCCGAGUAGUCCCAGCCGUAAACGAUGCAGGCUAGGUGUUGGGUCGGCCACGCGCCGCCUCAGUGCCACAGGGAAGCCAUUAAGCCUGCCGCCUGGGGAGUACGGCCGCAAGGCUGAAACUUAAAGGAAUUGGCGGGGGAGCACCACCAGGCGUGAAGCCUGCGGUUU
rnacentral:rRNA from 1 species